NNGGNAGACGCAANNNCUAAUCUCAAAUCAAGUAAGAAGACCUGCUGAAUUGAAGCAUCUAACUAAGCAGAGGAAAAGAAAAUAACAAUGAUUCCCUUAGUAACGGCGAGUGAAGUGGGAGAAGCCCAAGCCAAAAUCACUGUAAAGUGAGUUGUAGUGUGAAGACUGGUGUGAAGGUGAAGAAGCAUCGAAUUUGAUUGGAAAGUCAAGUCAUAGAAGGUGAAAACCCUGUAAGAUGCNUNNCUUCANCNNNANAAUACCAGUUCGUGGAGUCGAGUUGUUUGGGAUUGCAACUCGAAGUUGGUGGUAAACAUCAUCAAAGGCUAAAUAGUGUCAAGAGACCGAUAGCGAACAAGUACCGUGAGGGAAAGAUGAAAAGAACUUUGAAAAAAGAGUGAAAUAGUACUUGAAAUCGUGGUUAGGUUAAGCGCAGAGGCUGAGUGGUAUUGUAGAACUUGUGUCCUUUACAGUUGUGAAGGGUUUAAGUUGUAUGAUAGGUGUAUGNGGUGUUUNNNUNCNCNAANCUANNGGGNGAGUGAGCACCCCACACACAAAAUCAACCUCUUCGUCCCGUCUUGAAACACGGACCAAGGAGUCUAUCAUGGAUGCGAGUACGUUGGUGCCAAACCAAAGUGCGUAAUGAAAGUAAAUCGUGUGAUCAUUGAAAGAUGCGCAACAUGUGCCGAUCUGGAUUCUGUGAAGAAAGAUUCGAGUAAUAGCAUUUAUGGUGGGACCCGAAAGAUGGUGAACUAUGCCUGAAUAGGACGAAGCCAGGGGAAACUCUGGUGGAGGUUCGAGUGGAUUCUAACGUGCAAAUUGAUCUUUAAAUUUGGGUAUAGGGGCGAAAGACUAAUCGAACCAUCUAGUAGCUGGUUCCUUCCGAAAUUUCCCUCAGGAUAGCUGCAACUUAUGAAAUAGUUUUAUGAGGUAAAGCGAAUGAUUAGAGGCUUCGGGAAUGUACUAUUCUUGACCUAUUCUCAAACUUUAAAUGGGUAAGAAGCAGUUGAUGUUUAGUUAAUCAGCUGUGAUGAAUAUGAGUUGCAAGUGGGCCAUUCCGGGUAAGCUGGACUGGCGAUGCGGGAUCAACCGAACGCUAUGGUACGGCGCCUGAUUAUUCGCUCAGUAGGACGUAAAAGGUGUUAGUUCAUCUAGACAGCAGGACGGUGGCCAUGGAAGUCGGAAUCCGCUAAGGAGUGUGUAACAACUCACCUGCCGAAUGAAGUAGCCCUGAAAAUGGAUGGCGCUCAAGCGAAUAGCCUAACCAUAGCCAUUCGAUUUAGUUUUAUAGUCGAAUGAGUAGGAAGGCGUGAUGGAGGUAGAGAAGACUAGCGUGUGAACGCAGUUGGAACGUCCAUUAGUGCAGAUCUUGGUGGAAGUAGCAAAUAUUCAAAUGAGAUCUUUGAAGACUGAAGUGGAGAAAGGUUCCAUAGGAAUCGUGAUGAUCUAUGGGUUAGUCGAUCCUAAGAGAUAGGUGAAAUCCAUUGAAAGGAUGACGUUCGUCAUCGUCUAUCGAAAGGGAAUCAGGUUAAUAUUCCUGAACCAAUAGAAGUGUGUCGGUAACGGUAUUGGGAUUGAAGACAUUGAUGGUACUCCUGGGAAGAGUUGUCUUUUCUUGUUAACAAAUGGCAGUCCUUGGAAUAAAUUCAGUUUGCGAGAAGGAUUGUGGUUUGGUAAAGGUUCCUGCUUGUUGGGAGCUCUGGUGCAGUAUCAGCAGUCCUUGAAAAUUCAAUCUCAGCGUAACUUCUAUUGUUCGUACUCAUAACCGCAUCAGGUCUCCAAGGUGAAUAGCCUCUAGUUCAUAGAAUAAUGUAGGUAAGGGAAGUCGGCAAAUUAGAUCCGUAACUUCGGGAAAAGGAUUGGCUCUGAGGGCUAAGCAGAAUGAGUAUUGGUUAGGAAACGGCUUGUGGUGCAUGGGUUUGUUGUGCUUUCGGGUGUGAUGAAUGUGUGUACUAUGAAAAGGGCCCUACUAGUAUUAACGCUGCAAUGAAUAGCUAACUCAGAACUGGUACGGACAAGGGGAAUCCGACUGUUUAAUUAAAACAAAGCAUUGUGAUGGUGUGAAAGAUAUGUUGACACAAUGUGAAUUCUGCCCAGUGCUCUGAAUGUCAAAGUGAAGGAAUUCAACCAAGCGCGGGUAAACGGCGGGAGUAACUAUGACUCUCUUAAGGUAGCCAAAUGCCUCGUCAUCUAAUUAGUGACGCGCAUGAAUGGAUUAAUGAGAUUCCCACUGUCCCUAUCUACUAUCUAGCGAAACCACAGCCAAGGGAACGGGCUUGGAAGUAUCAGCGGGGAAAGAAGACCCUGUUGAGCUUGACUCUAGUCUGACAUUGUGAAAUGACUUGAGAGGUGUAGCAUAGGUGGGAGAAGCAAUUCGAUCCUGAAAUACCACUACUCUUAAUGUUGUUUUACUUAUUCCAUGAGAUGGUAAUGAGUUGUAAGACUCAUUAAAGCCUUAAGCUNNNANGAGUGAACCACGUGAGAAGACUAGCGUGUGAACGCAGUUGGAACGUCCAUUAGUGCAGAUCUUGGUGGAAGUAGCAAAUAUUCAAAUGAGAUCUUUGAAGACUGAAGUGGAGAAAGGUUCCAUAGGAAUCGUGAUGAUCUAUGGGUUAGUCGAUCCUAAGAGAUAGGUGAAAUCCAUUGAAAGGAUGACGUUGGUCAUCGUCUAUCGAAAGGGAAUCAGGUUAAUAUUCCUGAACCAAUAGAAGUGUGUCGGUAACGGUAUUGAGAUUGAAGACAUUGAUGGUACUCCUGGGAAGAGUUGUCUUUUCUUGUUAACAAAUGGCAGUCCUUGGAAUAAAUUCAGUUUGCGAGAAGGAUUGUGGUUUGGUAAAGGUUCCUGCUUGUUGGGAGCUCUGGUGCAGUAUCAGCAGUCCUUG
rnacentral:rRNA from 1 species